GUGGGGAAUCUUAGACAAUGGGGGCAACCCUGAUCUAGCCAUGCCGCGUGAGUGAUGAAGGCCUUAGGGUCGUAAAGCUCUUUCGCUGGGGAAGAUAAUGACGGUACCCAGUAAAGAAACCCCGGCUAACUCCGUGCCAGCAGCCGCGGUAAUACGGAGGGGGUUAGCGUUGUUCGGAAUUACUGGGCGUAAAGCGCGCGUAGGCGGAUUGGAAAGUUGGGGGUGAAAUCCCGGGGCUCAACCCUGGAAUGGCCUUCAAAACUGCCAGUCUGGAGGUCGAGAGAGGUGAGUGGAAUUCCGAGUGUAGAGGUGAAAUUCGUAGAUAUGCGGAGGAACACCGGUGGCGAAGGCGGCCACCUGGACAGGUACUGACGCUGAGGCGCGAAAGCGUGGGGAGCAAACAGGAUUAGAAACCCGAGUAGUCC
rnacentral:rRNA from 1 species